rnacentral:rRNA from 1 species
GUGUUUAGUUGCAAACAGGUCAAGCUGUGCACUCUAGACAGACUGCCGUGGACAACACGGAGGAAGGUGGGGAUGACGUCAAAUCAUCAUGCCCCUUAUGAUCUGGGCUACACACGUGCUACAAUGGCCGGUACAACGGGCAGCGAAGGAGCGAUCCGGAGCGAAUCCUAAAAAGCCGGUCCCAGUUCGGAUUGCAGGCUGAAACUCGCCUACAUGAAGUUGGAGUUGCUAGUAAUCGCGAAUCAGAAUGUCGCGGUGAAUGCGUUCCCGGGUCUU